AGAAGAUAGUUUAAUUGAAAAUCCUAGCUUUGGGAGUUAGGGAUGAGAGUUAGAAUCUCUUUUUUCUGG
rnacentral:tRNA from 1 species